rnacentral:rRNA from 1 species
GGCCUAACACAUGCAAGUCGAGCGGAUGAGGGAAGCUUGCUUCCUGAUUUAGCGGCGGACGGGUGAGUAAUGCCUAGGAAUCUGCCUGUUAGUGGGGGAUAACGUUCCGAAAGGAACGCUAAUACCGCAUACGUCCUACGGGAGAAAGUGGGGGAUCUUCGGACCUCACGCUAACAGAUGAGCCUAGGUCGGAUUAGCUAGUAGGUGAGGUAAUGGCUCACCUAGGCUAUGAUCCGUAACUGGUCUGAGAGGAUGAUCAGUCACACUGGAACUGAGACACGGUCCAGACUCCUACGGGAGGCAGCAGUGGGGAAUAUUGGACAAUGGGCGAAAGCCUGAUCCAGCCAUGCCGCGUGUGUGAAGAAGGUCUUCGGAUUGUAAAGCACUUUAAGUUGGGAGGAAGGUCUGUAAGUUAAUACCUUGCAGUCUUGACGUUACCAACAGAAUAAGCACCGGCUAACUCUGUGCCAGCAGCCGCGGUAAUACGGAGGGUGCAAGCGUUAAUCGGAAUUACUGGGCGUAAAGCGCACGCAGGCGGCUUGUUAAGUCAGAUGUGAAAGCCCCGGGCUCAACCUGGGAACUGCAUUUGAAACUGACAAGCUAGAGUCUUGUAGAGGGGGGUAGAAUUCCAGGUGUAGCGGUGAAAUGCGUAGAGAUCUGGAGGAAUACCGGUGGCGAAGGCGGCCCCCUGGACAAAGACUGACGCU